UACGGGGGGGGCAAGCGUUGUUCGGAAUUACUGGGCGUAAAGGGCUCGUAGGCGGCCAUCUAAGUCGGACGUGAAAUCCCUCGGCUUAACCGGGGAACUGCCUUUGAUACUGAAGAUCUUGAGUUCGGGAGAGGUGAGUGGAACUGCGAGUGUAGAGGUGAAAUUCGUAGAUAUUCGCAAGAACACCAGUGGCGAAGGCGGCUCACUGGCCCGAUACUGACGCUGAGGCACGAAAGCGUGGGGAGCAAACAGG
rnacentral:rRNA from 1 species